UACGUAGGGGGCAAGCGUUGUCCGGAAUCAUUGGGCGUAAAGAGCGUGUAGGCGGCCUGAUAAGUCGGCUGUGAAAGUCAAGGGCUCAACCCUUGAAUGCCGGCCGAUACUGUCAGGCUAGAGUCCGGAAGAGGAGAGUGGAAUUCCUGGUGUAGCGGUGAAAUGCGCAGAUAUCAGGAAGAACACCCGUGGCGAAGGCGGCUCUCUGGGACGGUACUGACGCUGAGACGCGAAAGCGUGGGGAGCGAACAGG
rnacentral:rRNA from 1 species